rnacentral:rRNA from 1 species
GAUGAACGCUGGCGGCGUGCUUAACACAUGCAAGUCGAACGAGCGAGAGAGUAGUUACUUUUUCGAGCGAGUGGCGAACGGGUGAGUAACACGUAAGCAACCUGCCUAUCAGAGGGGAACAACAGUUAGAAAUGACUGCUAAUACCGCAUAUCCGCCUAAGUACCACAUGGUACAAUAGGGAAAGGAGUAAUCCGCUGAUAGAUGGGCUUGCGUCUGAUUAGAUAGUUGGUGGGGUAAUGGCCUACCAAGUCGACGAUCAGUAGCCGGACUGAGAGGUUGAACGGCCACAUUGGGACUGAGAUACGGCCCAGACUCCUACGGGAGGCAGCAGUCGGGAAUAUUGCGCAAUGGAGGAAACUCUGACGCAGUGACGCCGCGUGCAGGAAGAAGGUUUUCGGAUUGUAAACUGCUUUAGACAGGGAAGAAAUAAGACAGUACCUGUAGAAUAAACUCCGGCUAACUACGUG